CGGGGGGGGGGGGGGAGGGGGGAAGAGGGGAAACGGGGUGAAAAAAAGGGAUUUUGGGGGCGCUGAGGUGGGAGGGGGGGGAAGGGGAAGGGCUUUGGGGUGGUUUCUGGGGGUUUUGGGUGCGGCCGCUGCUGCGGGUUUUGGUCCGCAGUGCCGCAGGGUUGGGGGGGGGGGGGCGGCGCCGCGCGACACACGGGGGUGUGUGGGGCCGGGACACGCGUGUGGGAGGCGUGUGGAGGGUGGGACACGCGUGUGGGAGGCGUGUGGAGGGUGGGACACGCGUGUGGGAGGCUGUGUGGGGCUGGGACACGCGUGUGGGAGGCGUGUGGAGGGUGGGACACGCGUGUGGGAGGCGUGUGUGGGCUGGGACAUGCGUGUGGGAGGCGUGUGGAGGGUGGGACACGCGUGUGGGAGGCGUGUGUGGGCUGGGACACGCGUGUGGGAGGUGUGUGGAGGGUGGGACAGGCGUGUGGGAGGCGUGCGUGGGGUGGGACACGCGUGUGGGAGGUGUGUGGAGGGUGGGACAGGCGUGUGGGAGGCGUGUGUGGGCUGGGACACGCGUGUGGGAGGUGUGUGGAGGGUGGGACAGGCGUGUGGGAGGCGUGCGUGGGGGUGGGACACGCGUGUGGGAGGCAUGUGUGGACUGGGACAUGCGUGUGGGAGGUGUGUGGAGGAUGGGAGACGCAUGUGGGAAGCGUGUGUGGGCUGGGACAUGCGUGUGGGAGGUGUGUCAAGGGCAGGGACACGCGUGUGGGAGGUGUGUGUGGACUGGGACAUGCGUGUGGGAGGUGUGUGGAGGGUGGGACACACGUGUGGGAAGCGUGUGUGGGCUGGGACAUGCGUGUGGGAGGUGUGUCAAGGGCAGGGACACGCGUGUGGGAGGUGUGUGGUGGGACACGCGUGUGGGAGGCGUGUGUGGGGCUGGGACACAUGUGUGGGAGGUGUGUGGAGGGUGGGACACGCAUGUGGGAGGUGUGUGGAGGGCAGGAAGCGUGUGGGAGG